CGAGCCGGCCGGGCGGUCGCGGCAUCAAGCAAUUGGUGUCGAGGAAGGUCCGGGCUCCACAGGGCAAGGUGGUGGGUAACACCCACCCGAGGAAACUCGCGGGACAGUGCCACAGAAAACAGACCGCUGAUCUUUGAUCAGUAAGGGUGAAACGGUGGUGUAAGAGACCACCAGCACUUGAGGUGACUCAAGUGGCUCGGUAAACCCCACUUGGAGCUAGAUCAAAAGGUUUGAGUGUUCGCACUCAAACUGCGCAAACACUUGAGGGCGGCCCGCCCAAGUUUGCGGGUAGAUCGCACGAGCGUGUCAGCAAUGGCGCGCCCAGAUGGAUGGCCGCACAUCGGAACCACCGCAAGGUGACCGAAGACAGAACCCGGCCUACAGGCCGACUCGUCCG
rnacentral:RNase_P_RNA from 1 species